GGAAGCAGCAGUGAGGAAUUUUUCACAAUGGACGAAAGUCUGAUGGAGCAUACUACGUGAACGAUGAAUGUCUUAUGAUUGUAAAGUUCUUUUAUUUGGGAAAAAAAGCAUGAUAGGAAAUGAUCAUGCCGUGAUUGUACUAAAUGAAUAAGUGACAGCUAACUAUGUGCCAGCAGCUGCGGUAAUACAUAGGUCACAAGCAUUAUCCGGAUUUAUUGGGCGUAAAGGAAGCGUAGGCGGAAGGAUUGAUCCGUUGUUAAAUUCACUUGCUCAACAAGUGGUCGCAAUGGAAAUCGUCUUUCUAGAAUUAGUUAGGGGGUACUGGAAUUCAAUGUGUAGCGGUGGAAUGCGUAGAUAUAUUGAGGAACACCAGAGGCUAAGGCGAGUACCUGGGACAUAAUUGACGCUGAGGCUUGAAAGCGUGGGGAGCAAAUGGGAUUAGAUACCCCAGUAGUCCACGCCGUAAACGAUGAGUAUUAAGUAUUUGGGGUUCUCCUGAGUGCUGUAGCUAACGCGUUAAAUACUCCGCCUGGGUAGUAUAUAUGCAAAUAUGAAACUCAAAGAAAUUGACGGGGACCUGAACAAGUGGUGGAGCAUGUUGCUUAAUUCGAUAAUACACGAAAAACCUUACCAAGGCUUGUAAUCUUCUGCUAAGCUGUAGAAAUACAGUGGAGUGUAUCAGAAUGACAGGUGGUGCAUGGCUGUCGUCAGCUCGUGUCUUGAGAUGUUUGGUUAAGUCCCGUAACGAGCGCAACCCUACUCAUUAGUUAAAUAGUUCUAAUGUGACUGAAUCGUAAGAUAUAGGAAGGAUGGGGCCAAGUCAAGUCAUCAUGCCCCUUAUGCCUUGGGCUGCAAACGUGCUACAAUGGUAGGUACAAUAUGUCGCAACCUAGUAAUAGGAAGCUAAUCACUAAAGCCUAUCUAGUCCGGAUAAAAGGCUGCAAUUCGCCUA
rnacentral:rRNA from 1 species